CUGAUGAGUCAUACGUCCACUUGAAUAAACACGCGCCUGGUUUCUCACGGGGCCACGAUUGCUAGCCUAGCCCACCUGGCCCACCACCGCUCGUUCCUCUCUCGAUCCUUAUCCCGUACAGGAGAUUGUUCUCGUCCACUCGUUCAUCCCCUUUCUCAUCCCCUACCUCCAGCUAGCGCUUACCUUCAGCCAGCACCCAAAUUAAGUCGCCACAGAAUCACCCCCGCUCCCAUUGCAGGCCUUUUUUCAUCUAGAUCGGGUAGAGAUGGGGCUGGCAGCCAACCACCCCGUCGCUAUUGUCCAUUGUGCGAGGUUGGACACUUUUGCAACCCGCACGACUGGAGAUGACGGCCACCGGUGCUUCAACCGACUUACUCCUGGCGGGGGCCGGAUGCUACAACCAUUGGAUGGAGGUGCUAGAACCGCCCAAUAGAGGUGCUGCAACGACAUGACAGAGAUGCCACAACCAAUCAACGGCGGUGCUAGGAACCGCCUGGGAGCGAAGCUGCAUCCGUUCCCGGCGAAAGUGGCAUCCCUUCCCGGCGAAAGUUGCAUCCGUUACCGGUGAAAACUGCAUCCUGUCACCGGCGGCACCGCGACAACACGCGGGAGGUGUUGGAACCGGCUGCCGGAGGUGUUGCAUCCGUUUCCGGCGAAGCUACAGCCGGCGGUGCUGCAACCACAUUGAUCUAUGCUGGAACCAAACAGCCGUCGAAGUUGUUUUGCUAGCACCGACGAUUUGUUUUGCUGGAACCGCCGACGACGGCGGCGAGCUAGAUGCGGCAGCCCUGAAGAUGUUGCAGACCACGACGAGCACGCGCUGGAACCAGUCGGUGGGAGAGGUGCAGUCGUCACCGAUCGAAGCUGGAACCACCGGCGGCCGUGUUGAAUCUCGCCGGCGAUGGCGAGACGGCGAAUGUCGUCGACGAUAUAGCAGCCUGCACGGCAGUUAUAUUUUUCGUAAGGACGUACGACGGAGGAUGUGCACGCCAGCGCUGGGUCAACGCGCGCUCGCUAUGUGAUUAUUUAGACGAUCGGUGGGGAAAGAAAAGUUGAAGUAGUGCUAAUCGAACGGUUAAAAAAGACAAAUCGCCGGCGCCUAUCACUCGCCAUUUUUUUUAUAAACUUCUUCUCCUUUAUUCAUUCAUAAAUAAAGUAGCAUCGUUUACAAA